UACGUAGGGGGCAAGCGUUGUCCGGAUUUAUUGGGCGUAAAGAGCACGUAGGCGGCCAAUCAAGUCAGGUGUGAAAUCCUUGGGCUCAACCCAAGAACUGCACUUGAAACUGAUUGGCUGGAGUUCAGGAGAGGAGAGUGGAAUUCCUAGUGUAGCGGUGAAAUGCGCAGAUAUUAGGAGGAACACCAGUGGCGAAGGCGGCUCUCUGGUCUGUAACUGACGCUGAGGUGCGAAAGCUAGGGGAG
rnacentral:rRNA from 1 species